CGGCAGCAGGUGGGCUGGCAGCACACAGACAGGCAGCACUGGGGGCGGCAGCAGCUGGACUCAUGGCACCUGGGGUGGUAGCAGGUGGUUCUGCAGCAGGUGGUCUGGCAGCAGCUGGGGCGGCAGCAGCUGGACUCACAGCACCUGGGGCGGCAGCAGGUGGGCUGGCAGCACACGGACUGGCAGCACUGGGGGCGGCAGCAGCUGGACUCACAGCACCUGGGGCGGCAGCAGGUGGGCUGGCAGCACACGGACUGGCAGCAUUGGGGGCGACAGCAGCUGGACUCACAGCACCUGGGGCGGCAGCAGGUGGGCUGGCAGCACAAGGACUGGCAGCACUGGGGUCUGCAGCAGCUGGACUCACAGCAUCUGGGGCGGUAGCACGUGGUCCUGCAGCAGGUGGUCUGGCAGCAGCUGGGGCGGCAGCAGCUGGAGUUGCAGCACCUGGGGCGACAGCAGGUAGGUUGGCAGCACACAGGCUGGCAG